rnacentral:rRNA from 1 species
AGACCCUARGUCAGGCGUGGCCACCCGCUGAAUUUAAGCAUAUAA